GUGAAUCAUCGAAUUUUUGAACGCAUAUUGCACUCUCUGGUAUUCCGGAGAGUAUGCCUGUUUGAGGGUAAUUAAAAAGAAUCUUUCACCAAUUUUUUUUGGUCAUAGGAAAUGAGCUCUCCGCGGUUAUAGCGGUUUUGUCACAUAAAUGGUAGUCUCCUUUUAGUCGAAACGCGUACUA
rnacentral:misc_RNA from 1 species